GAUGAACGCUGGCGGCGUGCCUAAUACAUGCAAGUCGAGCGAACAGACGAGGAGCUUGCUCCUUCGACGUUAGCGGCGGACGGGUGAGUAACACGUAGGUAACCUACCUAUAAGACUGGGAUAACUUCGGGAAACCGGAGCUAACACCGGAUAAUAUUUCGAACCGCAUGGUUCGAUAGUGAAAGAUGGCUUUGCUAUCACUUAUAGAUGGACCUGCGCCGGAUUAGCUAGUUGGUAAGGUAACGGCUUACCAAGGCAACGAUGCGUAGCCGACCUGAGAGGGUGAUCGGCCACACUGGAACUGAGACACGGUCCAGACUCCUACGGGAGGCAGCAGUAGGGAAUCUUCCGCAAUGGGCGAAAGCCUGACGGAGCAACGCCGCGUGAGUGAUGAAGGUCUUCGGAUCGUAAAACUCUGUUAUUAGGGAAGAACAAACGUGUAAGUAACUGUGCACGUCUUGACGGUACCUAAUCAGAAAGCCACGGCUAACUACGUG
rnacentral:rRNA from 1 species